GGUUGCAUGGUGUAGGGGUUAGCAUAUCUGCUUUACAUACAGAAGAUGCUGGGUUUGAUCCCCAGUGGAGCCA
rfam:Loxodonta africana unplaced genomic scaffold scaffold_108, whole genome shotgun sequence.